UUCGGCUGCGCGGCGGGGCUGAGGCGGCCGCGGGGCCGGAUUGCAGGGAGCGAAGCUUGGAUUCCGAGCCUCUCAGCGCUGGGGACAGCCGGGCCUUGCGCACAGGGCGUACAGCCGUGCUUCCUGGGAAAACUAUAAAAGGUCUCUGGACGACGGCCCCGAGCUGAUGGC